rnacentral:rRNA from 1 species
UCCAAACGAACUUGGAGAUAGCUGGUUCUCUCCGAAAUAGCUUUAGGGCUAGCGUCGACAUUAGAGAUUCUUGGAGGUAGAGCACUGUUUGGGUGAGGGGUCCAUCCCGGAUUACCAAUCUCAGAUAAACUCCGAAUGCCAAUGAAUUAUGGUCGGCAGUCAGACUGCGAGUGCUAAGAUCCGUAGUCGAAAGGGAAACAGCCCAGACCACCAGCUAAGGUCCCAAAAUAAUUGUUAAGUGGAAAAGGAUGUGGGGUUGCACAGACAACUAGGAUGUUAGCUUAGAAGCAGCUAUUCAUUCAAAGAGUGCGUAAUAGCUCACUAGUCGAGUGACCCUGCGCCGAAAAUGUACCGGGGCUAAAACAAUUUACCGAAGCUGUGGAUACCUUUAUAGGUAUGGUAGGAGAGCGUUCUAUGUGUGAUGAAGGUAUACCGUGAGGAGUGC